CUUGAACGCUGGCGGCAGGCCUAACACAUGCAAGUCGAGCGAGCGGCGGACGGGUGAGUAAUGUCUGGGAAACUGCCUGAUGGAGGGGGAUAACUACUGGAAACGGUAGCUAAUACCGCAUACCAUCAGAUGUGCCCAGAUGGGAUUAGAUAGUCGGUGGGGUAAUGGCUCACCUAGGCGACGAUCCCUAGCUGGGCUGAGAGGAGGACCAGCCACACUGGAACUGAGACACGGUCCAUACUCCUACGGGAGGCAGAAUUGGGGAAUAUGGCACAAUGGGCGCAAGCCUGAUGCAGCCAUGCCGCGUGUGUGAAGAAGGCCUUCGGGUUGUAAAGCACUUUCAGCGAGGAGGCGUUACUCGCAGAAGAAGCACCGGCUAACUCCGUGCCAGCAGCCGCGGUAAUUC
rnacentral:rRNA from 1 species